GGAGGGGUGUCCGAGUGGUUUAAGGAGUUGGUCUUGAAAACCAAUGAUUCUCUCAAAAGAACCAUGGGUUCGAAUCCCAUCCCCUCCGCCA
rnacentral:tRNA from 1 species